AGCGCUUCUCCCUGAAGCGCUAAGUCACAGUUGAAUACUUUUGUUUUUGUUGCUACCUUUAAACAAUAGGAGGAGACAAGUUCCUUUCACAGCCUCAACUAAUUAGGUCAGGCUUACUGAAGGCCCAUUGAAGAUAUUUACCUGUCUUAAGGUCAGCUGAUUUGGGACUUUUAUUAUACCUGUAUACUUCUCAACAGCAGCACCAGCUAUACAGUGGACACAUCGCCUUGGUACCUUAGAGAGCCCUCAAGCAGACCAGCUCAAGCACUUGAACAGAGCAUUCCUCUUCAGGGGAUGGAAACCAUGAUCCUGAUCAAGAAGCAUAAACGAGGAAAUUGAAAAUCCCACAUUGUUCUAUUUCCGAGUGAAAAGCUUUGAUUCACCACUAGAGGACACUAUUCACCCUCUCAUCUUUCUGAAGGCGUCAGCCCAGCAGGGCUCGUUUUCAAGUGAAAAUAACUGCAUUUACUAAGGCUUGUGAUUUGUUUAGAAAUAAAAAGCAGCACCCCCAUGAUUCUGAGCAGAUUUACCCCCGUAAAGCUCCUGUUGAUUGUGAUGCAAAGUCUUUAACUGCAUCAAAUGUAAACUGGAAAAAUUCAGCAAAUUAGGAUUGCCUGUGCAACUAUACAUAAAAUACACUUCAUCACAAAUUGUUUAGGUUUAC
ensembl:lncRNA